rnacentral:rRNA from 1 species
GAGCAAUCUGUGUGACUGCGUACCUUUUGUAUAAUGGGUCAGCGACUUAUAUUCUGUAGCAAGGUUAACCGAAUAGGGGAGCCGAAGGGAAACCGAGUCUUAACUGGGCGUUAAGUUGCAGGGUAUAGACCCGAAACCCGGUGAUCUAGCCAUGGGCAGGUUGAAGGUUGGGUAACACUAACUGGAGGACCGAACCGACUAAUGUUGAAAAAUUAGCGGAUGACUUGUGGCUGGGGGUGAAAGGCCAAUCAAACCGGGAGAUAGCUGGUUCUCCCCGAAAGCUAUUUAGGUAGCGCCUCGUGAAUUCAUCUCCGGGGGUAGAGCACUGUUUCGGCAAGGGGGUCAUCCCGACUUACCAACCCGAUGCAAACUGCGAAUACCGGAGAAUGUUAUCACGGGAGACACACGGCGGGUGCUAACGUCCGUCGUGAAGAGGGAAACAACCCAGACCGCCAGCUAAGGUCCCAAAGUCAUGGUUAAGUGGGAAACGAUGUGGGAAGGCCCAGACAGCCAGGAUGUUGGCUUAGAAGCAGCCAUCAUUUAAAGAAAGCGUAAUAGCUCACUGGUCGAGUCGGCCUGCGCGGAAGAUGUAACGGGGCUAAACCAUGCACCGAAGCUGCGGCAGCGACGCUGAUGCGUUGUUGGGUAGGGGAGCGUUCUGUAAGCCUG